rnacentral:tRNA from 2 species
GUUCGUAUGGUGCAGUGGUAGCAUAUCGCUUUCCGGUUUUUCAACGGUUUUCGGCGGGGACGGGGGUUCAAACCCCUCUACGAACU